GACGAACGCUGGCGGCGUGCUUAACACAUGCAAGUCGAACGGCAAGGCCCUGCUUUUGUGGUGUGCUCGAGUGGCGAACGGGUGCGUAACACGUGAGUAACCUGCCCUUGUCUUUGGUGUAACUUCAGGUAACUGGGGCUAAUACCGGAUAGGAGCUCCUGCUCCAUGGUGGGGGUUGGAACGUUUCGGCGGGUGGGGAUGGACUCGCGGCUUAUCAGCUUGUUGGUUGGGUAGUGGCUUACCAAGGGUUUGACGGGUCGCCGGCCUGAGAGGGUGACCGGCCACAUGGGGACUGAGAGACGGCCCAGACGCCUACGGGAGGCAGCAGGGGGGAAUAUGGCACAAUGGGAGGAAGCCUGAGGAAGAAACGCUGCGUGCGGGAUGACGGCCUGCGGGUUGUAAACCGCUGUAGCCUGUGACGAAGCGUGAGUGACGGUAAUGGGUAAAGAAGCACCGGCUAACUACGUG
rnacentral:rRNA from 1 species